rnacentral:rRNA from 1 species
CACGUAGGCGGAUUUGUUAGUCAGGGGUGAAAUCCCGGGGCUCAACCUCGGAACUGCCUUUGAUACUGCAAGUCUCGAGUCCGAUAGAGGUGGGUGGAAUUCCUAGUGUAGAGGUGAAAUUCGUAGAUAUUAGGAAGAACACCGGUGGCGAAGGCGGCCCACUGGAUCGGUACUGACGCUGAGGUGCGAAAGCGUGGGGAAGCAAACA